GACGAACGCUGGCGGCGUGCCUAAUACAUGCAAGUCGAGCGGAAGUUGAAGAGCUUGCUCUUCAACUUUAGCGGCGGACGGGGGAGUAACACGUGGGCAACCUGCCCUGCAGAUCGGGAUAACUCCGGGAAACCGGUGCUAAUACCGAAUAGUUUUCGCCACCUCCUGGUGGCGUACGGAAAGACGGUUUCGGCUGUCACUGCAGGAUGGGCCCGCGGCGCAUUAGCUAGUUGGUGGGGUAACGGCCCACCAAGGCAACGAUGCGUAGCCGACCUGAGAGGGUGAUCGGCCACACUGGGACUGAGACACGGCCCAGACUCCUACGGGAGGCAGCAGUAGGGAAUCUUCCGCAAUGGACGAAAGUCUGACGGAGCAACGCCGCGUGAGUGACGAAGGUUUUCGGAUCGUAAAACUCUGUUGUGAGGGAAGAACAAGUACCACUUAACUACUGGUACCUUGACGGUACCUCACCAGAAAGCCACGGCUAACUACGUGCCAGCAGCCGCAGUAAAAC
rnacentral:rRNA from 1 species